rnacentral:lncRNA from 1 species
GAGAUUUAGGCCCAGGAAUUAGCAUCGACAUCAUCCAAUAGGAUUGUUUGAAGCACAACCAAGGAGGCAGGUUAUAAGGAAUCAGGAUCACUGGCCAUGUAGUGUAAGUCACAUUCAACAUACGAAAUGGAUUGAAGCCAUCCGAUGCAAGUCCCAGCCUAACAUUACGUGGAUCACUUGCAAAUGCAGUAUACUUGGCAUCUACAUGCCUCCAUGCCUUUGAGUUAGCUGCGUGCCGCACUUUACCAUCUUCAACCAAUUCUUCCUUGUGCCAACACAUAUGCGUCGAUGUUGUCUCGUUCAUAUAUAAUCUCUGCAGUUGAGGAAUAAGUGAAAAAUACCUCAGUAUCUUACGAGGUAAGAGCUUCUUAUUUACUCCACCAGUGCCAUCACCACCACACUCUAAAUAUGUAUCUUUCCACCUACUCUCCCC